AAAAAGACAAACCCUGAUUUUCCGUGUCUAAUGUUUAACGAUCUGUCUUAUAUAAUUUUUUUUAUAAUUAGUAUUUUCAUUAUUGUUAGAUGAUAAAACAUGAUUAAUACUUUAUACGUGACUUAUCUUUUUACUUUAUUUUAUUUUUUUUAAAUAAGACGAACAGUCAAACUUAGACACAGAAACCCAUGAUUUGUCUUUUU
rfam:Oryza rufipogon genomic scaffold, chr09